UCUCCGUAGGUGAACCUGCGGAGGGAUCAUUACAGAAUUCAUGCCCUACCGAGUAGAUCUCCCACCCUAUGUUAUUAUUACUUUGUUGCUUUGGCGGGCCGUUAGGCUCCGGCCCGACUACCGGCCCCGGCUGGUAAGCGCCCGCCAGAGGACCCAAAACCCUGAAUAUUAGUGUCGUCUGAGUACUAUAUAAUAGUUAAAACUUUCAACAACGGAUCUCUUGGUUCUG
rnacentral:misc_RNA from 1 species